UACGAAGGGGGCUAGCGUUGCUCGGAAUCACUGGGCGUAAAGCGCACGUAGGCGGAUUGUUAAGUCAGGGGUGAAAUCCUGGAGCUCAACUCCAGAACUGCCUUUGAUACUGGCAAUCUCGAGUUCGGGAGAGGUGAGUGGAACUGCGAGUGUAGAGGUGAAAUUCGUAGAUAUUCGCAAGAACACCAGUGGCGAAGGCGGCUCACUGGCCCGAUACUGACGCUGAGGUGCGAAAGCGUGGGGAGCGAACAGG
rnacentral:rRNA from 1 species